GGAGAGGUCGCUGUUGGCUAAGGCAGCGGUCGGCUCGCCGGCCGCGGUGGGUAAUGCCACCCGAGGGGUUCGAAUCCCUUCCCUCUCCGCCA
rnacentral:tRNA from 1 species